rnacentral:rRNA from 1 species
UAGGGAAUAUUGGACAAUGGUCGCAAGACUGAUCCAGCCAUGCCGCGUGCAGGAAGACGGCCCUAUGGGUUGUAAACUGCUUUUGUACCAGAGAAAACCUAUCUACGUGUAGAUAGCUGAUAGUAUGGUAAGAAUAAGCAUCGGCUAACUUCGUGCCAGCAGCCGCGGUAAGACGAAGGAUGCAAGCGUUAUCCGGAUUCAUUGGGUUUAAAGGGUGCGUAGGCGGGCUUGUAAGUCAGUGGUGAAAUCUCUCAGCUUAACUGAGAAACUGCCAUUGAUACUGCAGGCCUAGAGUAUAGAUGACGUUGGCGGAAUAUGACAUGUAGUGGUGAAAUACUUAGAUAUGUCAUAGAACACCGAUUGCGAAGGCAGCUAACGAGACUAUAACUGACGCUGAGGCACGAAAGUGCGGGGAUCAAACA